rnacentral:lncRNA from 1 species
UGCUUAAGUACCUAGCUCUUCCAUGAUCCAAUCCUAGACAUGCAUACAUCCAUUGCCACACUUUAAGCUUAUUACUUGUCCACGAACAACAAAUUAAGUUUAAGUCUAAUUAAAAUAUUUAUUUCCUUUGAAAACAUUUACAUUGCGGAAGCUUUGCUCGGUUAUCGUGAUAUUUUUAAAAUAAGUAACUUUUAUAAAACGCGCCCUAGAGCUAACCAAUUUAAUAACCCAAAAUAUUAAAAAUAAUAAAAAGAGCGGCCUUAUUACAACUUUAACCAGAAUAAAAAUAAUCAAAAUAAUAAAUGCAAAACUUAUUUUAAAGAAAACAAAACUUAAUCUUCGUGGCCACUCUGAAUCCCGCCCAGCUCCAAGUCCAUCGAUCUAAGGCUCACCUACAAAGAUGGGAAAAAGGGG